CAUCACCCAUUCCUUCUCUCCAGAGAUGCUGCCUUGCAUCGCAUCAGUUCCAGAGACAAAGUCCAAUGUCCACAAUGGGGUAGAAGUGAAUCAGACAGUGCCCUAGUUUAAGGAAGGAGCAUUCAGAUCAUUAGAACA